UCUCCGUAGGUGAACCUGCGGAGGGAUCAUUACAGAGUUCAUGCCCUAACGGGUAGAUCUCCCACCCUAUGUUAUCAUCACUUUGUUGCUUUGGCGGGCCGUCAGGCCUCGGCUUGGCUACCGGCUCUCGCUGGUAAGCGCCCGCCAGAGAACCCCAAACCCUGAAUAUCAGUGUCAUCUGAGUACUAUAUAAUAGUUAAAACUUUCAACAACGGAUUUCUUGGUUCUG
rnacentral:misc_RNA from 1 species